rnacentral:rRNA from 1 species
GGGUCAGUAGGUUGGUCGUGCCACCGGUACGUACUGGUCUCACUGAUUCCUCCUUCCUGAAGAACCGUAAUGCCAUUAAUUUGGUGUUGCGGGGAAGCAGGACUGUUACUUUGAAAAAAUUAGAGUGUUUAAAGCAAGCUAACGCUUGAAUACAUUAGCAUGGUAUAAUGAAAUAGGACGAUCGAUCCUAUUUUGUUGGUUUCUAGGAUUGACGUA